UAGCUGGGGAAGGACCAGUAGUAAUAAAAGGUAGAAGUUACUUAGCUUGGAUAGAAGUGUGGAUGGUAACUGAAAUGCUUGAGCCUAUCGACGAAAAUCUGGGUAAGCCAGGUGAGCAACUUAGCAGGCUGUAAUGAAA
rfam:Clostridium sp. BL8 Contig128, whole genome shotgun sequence.